GACGAACGCUGGCGGCGUGCUUAACACAUGCAAGUCGAACGAUGAAGCCUAGCUUGCUAGGUGGAUUAGUGGCGAACGGGUGAGUAAUACGUGAGUAACCUACCUUUAACUCUGGGAUAAGCCUGGGAAACUGGGUCUAAUACCGGAUACGACCAAUCUCCGCAUGGGGUGUUGGUGGAAAGCGUUAUGUAGUGGUUAUAGAUGGGCUCACGGCCUAUCAGCUUGUUGGUGAGGUAACGGCUCACCAAGGCGACGACGGGUAGCCGGCCUGAGAGGGUGACCGGCCACACUGGGACUGAGACACGGCCCAGACUCCUACGGGAGGCAGCAGUGGGGAAUAUUGCACAAUGGGCGCAAGCCUGAUGCAGCGACGCCGCGUGAGGGAUGACGGCCUUCGGGUUGUAAACCUCUGUUAGCAGGGAAGAAGAGAGAUUGACGGUACCUGCAGAGAAAGCGCCGGCUAACUACGUGCCAGCAGCCGCGGUAAUACGUAGGGCGCGAGCGUUGUCCGGAAUUAUUGGGCGUAAAGAGCUUGUAGGCGGUUUGUCGCGUCUGCUGUGAAGGCCGGAGCUUAACUCCGUGUAUUGCAGUGGGUACGGGCAGACUAGAGUGCAGUAGGGGAGACUGGAAUUCCUGGUGUAGCGGUGGAAUGCGCAGAUAUCAGGAGGAACACCGAUGGCGAAGGCAGGUCUCUGGGCUGUAACUGACGCUGAGAAGCGAAAGCAUGGGGAGCGAACAGGAUUAGAUACCCUGGUAGUCCAUGCCGUAAACGUUGGGCACUAGGUGUGGGGAACAUUCCACGUUUUCCGCGCCGUAGCUAACGCAUUAAGUGCCCCGCCUGGGGAGUACGGCCGCAAGGCUAAAACCCAAAGAAAUUGACGGGGGCCCGCACAAGCGGCGGAGCAUGCGGAUUAAUUCGAUGCAACGCGAAGAACCUUACCAAGGCUUGACAUAUACUGGACCGCAUCAGAGAUGGUGUUUCCCUUCGGGGCUGGUAUACAGGUGGUGCAUGGUUGUCGUCAGCUCGUGUCGUGAGAUGUUGGGUUAAGUCCCGCAACGAGCGCAACCCUCGUUCUAUGUUGCCAGCACGUUAUGGUGGGGACUCAUAGGAGACUGCCGGGGUCAACUCGGAGGAAGGUGGGGAUGACGUCAAAUCAUCAUGCCCCUUAUGUCUUGGGCUUCACGCAUGCUACAAUGGCCGGUACAGAGGGUUGCGAUACUGUGAGGUGGAGCUAAUCCCUAAAAGCCGGUCUCAGUUCGGAUUGGGGUCUGCAACUCGACCCCAUGAAGUCGGAGUCGCUAGUAAUCGCAGAUCAGCAACGCUGCGGUGAAUACGUUCCCGGGCCU
rnacentral:rRNA from 1 species